GGUUCAAACCCAUCACCCUCGGUAUAUGGGGCCGGCGCCUGAUUCAUUAAUUUUUUUUAUAGAAAUGCUGUGUCCUUAGUGCAUUGCAUAAGAACACAAAUGUUCCUCUCUAUAUUUUUUAAGAUACAGUAUUUAUAUACAGAGGGCGCCGAAAAAUGUAUACACAUUUUAAGAAAGGAAAAAACUAUUAAAUUUGUAACACUCAAUAUGUGCUGUCAAAAGGUGAAUGCAAGCCACGUUUGAGUAUUUCUUGUAAUUGCGGAAGUCAGAUGUGACUUGAGUAUUACAAAUUUAAUAGAUUUUUCUUUUCUUAAAAUGACUAUACACUUUUUUGCCUCAUCUGUAUAUAUAGUUCCAUAUAUCUCUCUAUAUAUUUUUUUUUAGAGACACAGCCUGGCUAUGUUGCCCAGGUUGGAAUGCAGUGGCUUUUCACAGGCUGGAUCAUCCCCCAUUACUGCCCUGAACUUAGGGGCUCAAGCAAUCCUCCUGCCUUGGUCUCCUGAGUAUCUGGGACUAUGAGCAUACACCAUUGCCCUAUGGCUGUCUUGAUACUUUGGUAUUACCUUUUACCAUUUAAUUAAGGUGGUGAUUUUUGUCAUGACAAUUCUCAAAUGUAUUCCAAGCCUUUCCUCUAAACCAGUGUUUCUCACUUUUUUAUCUUAAGGCAACCUUGAACCUAUAGUUAAAUUUCCACAACACACUUAAAUUAUAUAACCCCCCACACAAAAAGAAUAUACUUACUGUGCUUUGAACUUAUUUAGAAAAUAAUUUAAUGGUCUUUAAAACUUUUCAUGGCAUACCUAAGAUCUCACUGCACACUGGUUGAAAGUCACUGCUGUAAGCUCUAUGCCAGUGUAUCUUCCUGGAGUGCUCUAGCAGUCUUAUAAGUGAUCUGCUUUCUUUAAUAUAUUGUCUGCUAGGCAGUCAAAUCUUUUAAAGAAGUGAAUCAAAUCAAGUCACUUCCUCUUUAAAAUACUUAAAUUACUGGUCAUCAUAGUUCAUGCAUGUAGUCCCAGCUACUCCUGACGUUGAGAUGGGAGUAUCACUUGAGCCCAGGAGUUCCAGGCUGCAGUAAACUAUAAUCAAGCCAUUGCACUCAUGCCUGGGCAAUAGAGCAAGACCCUGUUUCUUUAAAAAAAAAAAAAAAAAGUUUGGUUAGGAGCAGAGGCGUGUAAGGCCAACACCAGUGGGAGGCUGCAGUGGAAGUAUCAUUUAAGACCAGAAGUUUUAGCUAGUUUGGGCAACAUAGUGAGACCCCAUCACUACAAAAAAAUACAAGUGUGUGUGUGUGUGUGUGUAUAUAUAGAUAGAUAGAUAGAUUUUUUUUUUGAGACAGAGUCUCACUUUAUUGCCCUUGGUAGAGUGCUGUGGUGUCACAGCUCACAGCAACCUUCAACUCCUGGGCUUAGGUGAUUCCCUUGCCUCAGCCUCCUGAGUAGCUGGGACUAUAGGCACCCACCACAGCAGCCUGGCUAUUUUUUGUUGCAGUUUGGCUGGGGCCAGGUUCGAACACGCCACCCUUGGUAUAUGGGGCCAGCACCCUACCCACUGAGCCACAGGCAAAAAUACAUAUUUUUUAAAUUUAGUCAGGUGUGAUGUGAUGUGAUGGUAUAUGCCUGUAGUUCUAGCUCCUUUGUAGGCUGAGCUGGGAGGAUCUCGUGAGCCCAAGAAUUUGAAGGUGCAAUGAGCUAUGAUGCCAUUGCAUUUCAGCCUGUGCAUUCAAAAUAAAGAAAAAAAGGUUUAUAGCCCCAAACUAGAAACUAUCCAAAAGUCCAUACACAAGAGAAUAGAUAAACUGUGGUAGUCUGGCAACGCAGCGUAUAGUAACUACAACUACGUGGAACAACAUGGGUAAAUUUUACAUAUAACACUAAGUGAAAUAGAAACAAAGAAUAUAUGCUAUGUAAUUUUAUAUGAAAUUCAAAACAGGCAAAAUUGCCUAUGGUUGUGAUAAGUUUACCUUUGAGGCAGGCAGGAGUGGCUGGAGGAAAAGAGGGAGCAUCUGAGCUGCUGGCCAUUUUAUUUUCUUCAUCUGAGCUAAAGGAGGGUGUUUAACUUGUGAAAAUUCAAAGUUCUGUAGUUCAAAAUUCAAAUUCCUAUAGUUCAUGCGUUAUUCUCCCCAGAUGUGUGUUAACUUAAAAAAAAAUUUUUUUUUUAAUGUUGUUUCCUGGUUCUAUAACAAAAGAAUUUGAUUUGCAGGUCCAGAGAGGGGCAAGAAAAUGCAUUUUAAAAUAACUUCUCUAAGUGGUUCUCUGAACACAUUUUGGGAAAGAAACUCUUUAAGAUUCUCCAUACAAUUACAGAAUUAUUUUUGUAAUGUACAUUAUCUGAUUAUGUCACCUCUGUUUAAAGUCCUAACAAUGUUCGUUUUUAACCCCCUAUCCCGCAGGAUAAAGUCCAAAUCUCCACAGCCUGGCAUUCAAGGUACUCCAAAACCUCAGGUCCCAUAAUUUUUCAUGCAGUUGAGCCCUCUCCUUUCUUUGGGCUCCCCGCGUGCCCCUCAAAACUCCUUCCCAAGCAGCUCCAAGCAGUUUCCAAAUUUCUUCCAAGCUCCAUUUAUAAUGUUAAGGUAACUUUUUUCCAAACAAAGCUUGUGUGCCUGGGAAGGUCGUGGGUAUGCAGGAAUGAACAAAAUAACCACAACGGCCAUGGCCAUAGACGUCAGAAAACAGUACACUACACUCAGCAACCUCAGUUCUUCUCAGCGAGCUUCUGGGGCUUCCAGAAAGACCACCCAGCUUCCGCGACCACCGAGAGAAAGGGCAAGUUGAGGGCGAGUAAGUUCUUCCAAUUACAAGAGGAAGGUCAACUCGAGGAUGACGCUAAGAGUCGAUCUGGCUUCUUGGACGCGCUCUGUAGUUUAUUUGGCCUCUGCUCAGGCCCUAGUUGAACGCCCGAUGACUAAGAAGAAAGGCUAGGCGCGGUCCUCACCUAUGACAAAUGUGGAGGCCGGAAGGCGCUCAGAAAACGUUAGCUGGAAUGCUGAUGGUGUGGGGGAAGAAGGUAUUUGAGGGAUGAUAUCAAUAGAGAAGUUCUGGAUCUUUCCUGUUGCAAAGCUCAAGGGGGAAAAUGGCUUGACCUGUUGAGGAUUUUCUCCAUGGUUCCAGCAGAGGGCCUUCAAGUCUCAUGUGUUUCAAGAAGACAUUUGUCUCAUUUUUGUUGCAAAUUCAGUCAUUUAGCUCAAUGAUUGUCACAUAGUAGACUUUUGGUGAAAAUAUGAUGAGUGAGGGAAUGAAUCUGUGAGUAAAAUAAGUACUUUAAAAAACUUGUAUUUAUUGGCUACAGUGGGGGCCAGUCACUAGCUAAGUGCAGUGUUUUUUCUUUCUGUAACUAUCUCAUGAUAUAGGUGUUAUGCCUUGUUUAUAGAUGAGGAAAUCAAGGCUCAAAGAGAUUAAAAGACAUUAUGAAAAUCAUAGAGGUAGCAAAUAGUGAAUUCUUGAGUUAACCCAGAUUUGUAACUUUAUUUUCAAAGUGUCAUAUAGGACUACAGAAAAUAUAUUAAUGGUUGAAAAAGGGAACAUCUGUAACCACUACUUAGGUGUAGGACAACAUUGCCAUCCCAGAAGCCCUGUUGUUAUGGAAUGAAUGUUUGUGUCUCCCCAAAUUCAUUUAUCAAAUCCCUGCCCCCAUUCUGGUAUUUGGAAGUAGGGCCUCUGAGAGAUAAUUAGGGUUAAAUGAGGUCAUGUAGGUGGGUGGAGGCCUCAUGAUAGGAUUAGUGCUCUUGUUAAAAGAAACAUCAGAGAUAUCUCUCUCUCUCUCUCUCUCU